CGGGAGGCCNCAGUGGGGAAUUUUGNANAANGGGNNCANCCGUGNUCCAGNCANCCCGUGUGAGUGAANAAGCCNUUCGGNUNUUAAAGUUUNUUNGNNNGGGAAGAAAUCUCCGGGNUUAAUACCCUCGGAGUUUGACGGUACCAUCAGAAGAAGCACCGGCUAACUCCGUGCCAGCAGCCGCGGUAAUACGUAGGGUGCAAGCGUUUUUCGGAUUUACUGGGUGUAAAGGGUGCGCAGGCGGCUUUNUAAGUCAGAGGUGAAAUAUCCCGGCUCAACCGNCGAACUGCCUUUGAAACUGCCUGGCUUGAGUCCGGGAGAGGGAGGUGGAAUUCCUGGUGUAGCGGUGAAAUGCGUAAAUAUCUGGAGGAACACCAGUGGCGAAGGCGGCCUCCUGGCCCGGUACUGACGCUCAGGCACGAAAGCCAGGGGAGCGAACAGGAUUAGAUACCCCGGUAGUCCUCGCCCUAAACGAUGGGCACUAGGUGUUGGGGGCAUCUACCCCUUCAGUGCCGCAGCUAACGCAUUAAGUGCCCCGCCUGG
rnacentral:rRNA from 1 species